UUUUUUUUUUUUUUUUCCAGAGAGAUUCCUAUAAAUAAACAUAUUUACAAUGAUUGUGAUUGUAGGACUGAGCUUUGGGAUAAAACAGAGGAUUUCAGCUCUUGCUUUAUUUUAUGCCAGCAGUUUGAAAAAGAAGCAGCUCAAAAUCAUUCUGACAUACUGCUACUGAAUGAGUAUUCUGCCCAUCUAUGCUGUCGAGCUAUCUAAAAUUAUAAUAAAUAAAUAAAUAAAUAAAUAAAUAACAAAAAAACCCUUUUGAUUUAAAAAGCAAGGAGUUCUUUAAGGGUUAGAUGUUUGUGUGUUGAACAGGUCUUAAAUACUUUCGGAGCAACAGGAUGUUCACAUGACCUCUUUUCAUGAGGAUGCACAAGACAAGCUAAAUAAAUGAACCUUGUGGGGCUUUAACAACAUGAUGCUACUACUCAGGGAAUUCAGGUUAGCUAACAUAUGUUUCAAAUCCAAAGAAUAUUCCAUACAGCCACUACAGAACUUAAAUCACAGCAGUAUUCCUGACCUCAAGUAAUUUGCCCAGCUCCUUGGCAAAUGUGUCAUAAUGGCUGUGGCUGAUGUUUCACACUUCGCGCUGUACAUCAAUAGAAAUGCAUAUUCAGGGUUAGGCACUGGGUGGUGCUGAAGAGCUAGUUAGUAGGAAAAUGUAUUUGUGCGGCUCUUCAACUGACUAAUAUUCGCCUUUUCUUGCAGCCAAUGGAACAGGAUUUGCUCUUCAAAAUAAUUCUUCUGGAUCCCUAGACCUAAUCAGAGGUGUGUAAAGAAAAGGAGAUGUGAUGCAGUCUGACUCCUGAAUGAGAUUUGGAGAGCACAGAAUAGACAAAGUUGCAACUUCUCCAAAUAUGCAUAGGACUUGCAUGCUGGCAAUUAGCUGCUAACAUUGGCAUUCGUCACCAGCACCAGAGUGAAGCCACCCAGAGGAGCAGAGGAAGGUGAACAUAACUGCAAAAAAACAGGAAUGUUUGAAUAAUAUGGACCUGAACAACAGAAAUAUCAAGGAAUGGAUAUUGUCAGCAAUUACUAUGAUAGAACUUACCCAGCAAAAGACAAAUAUAUUCCUCUGUUCUCUCUGUGUAGAGAUAAGAUUACCUCAUCCCCACACUUUGUCUCUCAUAUCCAUCAGCUCUAACAUUCAUCCAUCUUUGAGAAUGCAAGUCUGUGAACAGAGAUCCCCUUCCUUGUGCAGACAUGUACAGAAACCAUAGGAGGACUCGGCCUUGCAAGGCAAAGGAUCAAAUCUGCCCUUGAGGCAAUCCUGAGGUAUUCUGGGAAGGUGUGUGUCCUGAUUUUACCUGAGAUUAAUUUAUUUUUCCCCAGUAGCUGCUAAAGUGCUGUGUUAUUUAUUUAGUAUAUACAGAGAAAAUCAUGCUGAUGACACACUGGUAGCUGUUUUUGGUAGUUUCUCAGUAGUGCUUGCUCUAAAUAAAGCUUUUUGCACUGUCUCAUGCUCUGCCAGUGAGCAGGUGCACAAGAACCUGAAGGAAAGCACAGCCAGGACAGCUGGCCUGCCCUGGCCAAGGGGAUAGUCCACACCACAGAAUGUCAUGCUCCCUAUAAAUUGGGGAGAGCUGGCUGGGAGCUGCUAUUGCUGUUCAGGGAUGGUCUGAGUCUCCGUCAGUGGGUGGUGAGCAAUUGUGUUAUGUAUCACUUGUGUUUCUACAAGAAAAACAAGAGAGGAGGGUUUGGCUCCUCUCUCCUCUCCUUUUCAUUACAAUUAUUAGUAGUUACUAACUCAAAUAUUAGUACCUAAAAUAUAUUAGGUAAUGUAUUUUAUUUUGUUUUAAUUAUUAAACUGGUAUUAUC